AGAGUCUCACCGUAGUUCUUCCCAAAAUUUUCUGUUUUGGGAUGAGAUCAUGUCGCGUUUUUUUAUCGCAAAAUUUAAAUUUUGGGUAAGGAAUGUGCAUGAGUCACUACCUUACUUUUAAAACCACUUAUCCCUGUCCCAAAUUUUACAAAUUUGGGAUUCAACGAGAUUUUUUGGGAAGGGAAAAGAAACUCACAAGGAACCAACUCUGAAGCAUCUUUGGUGGUCCGGCCCCGUGCCGUCCACUCCAAACCAAAGACAACUCUCAACAACGGAUAUCUUGGCUCCCGUAUCGAUGAAGAACGCAGCGAAAUGCGAUACGUAGUGUGAAUUGCAGAAUUCCGUGAACCAUCGAAUCUUUGAACGCAAAUUGCGCCCGAGGCUUCGGCCGAGGGCAUGUCUGCCUCAGCGUCGGUUUACACCCUCGCCCUCCCCCACCCUGUGUGUGGGCUGGUGCGGAUCUGGCCCUCCCGGCUCCUCUCUGCUCUCCCCGAGCGAGCGUCCGGGUUGGCUGAAGCCCAUAGGCUUGAGCAUGGACCCCGUGUGUAGGGCAAUGGCUUGGUAGGUAGGCACCCCCUACGCAGCCUGCCGUUGCCCGAGGGGACUUUGCUGGACGCCCAGCAAGAAUCCGGCUGUUUCAGCAGCCGGACUACUCACUCAUUCGACCUGAGCUCAGGCAAGAUUACCCGCUGAGCUUAA
rnacentral:rRNA from 1 species